AAAGCCACUGACAACACCCUACAGCAAUGAUGCUUGCUGUUUACACUCACCAGAGGACCACACAGACAGGGAAGGGAUGAGAGAACAGCACAGGUGUGCUGGCUGGAGUAAAAGGCCUGUGUCUGCUAUCAGACUUCUUCACUGACUGCUCUGUGUGAUGCUCAGAUACGCCCUCCAUCUGUAAAAAGUAUGUAUUUAUCCAACCAACCUUCUUAAGAUAAUCAUUCGUCUCCACUCGCC
ensembl:lncRNA